AUGAACGCUAGCGGGAGGCUUAACACAUGCAAGUCGAGGGGCAGCAUAGGGUAGCAAUACGCUGCCGGCGACCGGCGGAUGGGUGAGUAACGCGUAUGCAACCUGCCUUCAGCAGGGGGAUAGCCCGUUGAAAGACGGAUUAAUACCCCGUAACACAGGGGCUCCGCAUGGAGAUUAUUGUUAAAGGGAUGCUUCCUUCGGGGAGUAUUCCGGCUGAAGAUGGGCAUGCGUUCCAUUAGGUAGUUGGUUGAGGUAACGGCUCACCAAGCCUGCGAUGGAUAGGGGAACUGAGAGGUUGGUCCCCCACACUGGUACUGAGACACGGACCAGACUCCUACGGGAGGCAGCAGUGAGGAAUCUUGGUCAAUGGACGGAAGUCUGAACCAGCCAUGUCGCGUGAAGGAGGACGGCCCUAAGGGUUGUAAACUUCUUUUGCAGGGGAAUAAAGUAUUCCACGAGAUGGGAUAUUGCAAGUACGCUGCGAAUAAGGAUCGGCUAACUCCGUG
rnacentral:rRNA from 1 species